GGCAAAACUUUCCCAAUGCGGGGAGCUACCAUGCAAGUCGAGCGGUAGCACAGAGAGCUUGCUCUCGGGUGACGAGCGGCGGACGGGUGAGUAAUGUCUGGGAAACUGCCUGAUGGAGGGGGAUAACUACUGGAAACGGUAGCUAAUACCGCAUAAUGUCGCAAGACCAAAGUGGGGGACCUUCGGGCCUCAUGCCAUCAGAUGUGCCCAGAUGGGAUUAGCUAGUAGGUGGGGUAACGGCUCACCUAGGCGACGAUCCCUAGCUGGUCUGAGAGGAUGACCAGCCACACUGGAACUGAGACACGGUCCAGACUCCUACGGGAGGCAGCAGUGGGGAAUAUUGCACAAUGGGCGCAAGCCUGAUGCAGCCAUGCCGCGUGUGUGAAGAAGGCCUUCGGGUUGUAAAGCACUUUCAGCGGGGAGGAAGGCGAUGAGGUUAAUAACCUUGUCGAUUGACGUUACCCGCAGAAGAAGCACCGGCUAACUCCGUGCCAGCAGCCGCGGUAAUACGGAGGGUGCAAGCGUUAAUCGGAAUUACUGGGCGUAAAGCGCACGCAGGCGGUCUGUCAAGUCGGAUGUGAAAUCCCCGGGCUCAACCUGGGAACUGCAUUCGAAACUGGCAGGCUAGAGUCUUGUAGAGGGGGGUAGAAUUCCAGGUGUAGCGGUGAAAUGCGUAGAGAUCUGGAGGAAUACCGGUGGCGAAGGCGGCCCCCUGGACAAAGACUGACGCUCAGGUGCGAAAGCGUGGGGAGCAAACAGGAUUAGAUACCCUGGUAGUCCACGCCGUAAACGAUGUCGAUUUGGAGGUUGUGCCCUUGAGGCGUGGCUUCCGGAGCUAACGCGUUAAAUCGACCGCCUGGGGAGUACGGCCGCAAGGUUAAACUCAAAUGAAUUGACGGGGGCCCGCACAAGCGGUGGAGCAUGUGGUUUAAUUCGAUGCACGCGAAAACCUUACCUGGUCUUGACUCACAAACUUUCAGAGAUGCUUUGGUGCUUCGGAACUGUGAACAGUGCUGCUGCUGCCUCACUCGGGUUGGAAUGUGGGUAAGCCCCACGAGGCACCCUUAUCUUUGUGCACCGGUCGGCGGAA
rnacentral:rRNA from 1 species